rnacentral:rRNA from 1 species
GAGGAUGGGUCUACGGCCUAUCAGGUAGUAGUGGGUGUAAUGUACCUACUAGCCUACGACGCGUACGGGUUGUGAGAGCAAGAGCACGGAGAUGGAUUCUGAGACAUGAAUCCAGGCCCUACGACGCGCAGCAGGCGCGAAAACUUUACGGUGC